AUGCUCAGGGAAGGCAGGGCGACCUGGAAGUCCAACUACUUCCUUAAGAUCAUCCAACUUUUGGGUGAUUACCCAAAAUGCUUCAUUGUGGGAGCAGACAACGUGGGCUCCAAGCAGAUGCAGCAGAUUCGCAUGUAGGGAAGGCUGUGGUGCUAAUGGGUAAGAACACAUGAUUCGCAAGGCCAUCAGGGGACACCUGGAGAAUAACCCAGCUCUGGAGAAACUGCUGCCUCACAUCCAGGGGGACGUGGGCUUCGUGUUCACCAAGGAGGACCUCACUGAGAUUAGGGAUAUACUGUUGGCCAAUAAGGUGCCAACUGCUGCUCGUGCUGGUGCCAUCUCCCUGUGUGAGGUCACUGCCAGCUCAGAACACUGGUCUGGGGCCCGAGAAGACCUCCUUCUUCCAGGCUUUAGGCAUCACCACCAAAAUCUCCAGAGGCACCAUUGAAAUUCUGAGUGAUGUGCAACUGAUAAAGACUUGGAGACAAGGUGGGAGCCAGUGAGGCCACACUGCUGAACACGCUGAAUAUCUUCCCCCUUCUCCUUCCAGCUCAUCAUCCAGCAGGGGUUUGACAACGGCAGCAUCUAUAACCCAGCAGUACUGGACAUCACAGAGCAGACCCCGCACUCUCGCUUCCUCGAGGGUGUCCGCAGCACGGCCAGCGUGUGUCUGCAGGUCGGGUACCCGACUGUUGCCUUGGUGCCCCACUUCAUCAAUGGGUACAAGCGCGUCCUGGCUUUGUCUGUGGAGACUGAGUACACUUUCCCAGCUGCUGAAAAGCUCAAGGCCUUCCUGGCUGAUCCAUCUGCAUUUGCAGCUGCUGCCCCUGUGGCUGCCCCUGCCAAGGCUGAAGCAAAGGAAGAGUCAGUGGAAUCAGAUGAGAAUAUGGGAUUCGGUCUCUUCGAC